rnacentral:rRNA from 1 species
CAAUAGCGUAUAUUAAAGUUGUUGCGGUUAAAAAGCUCGUAGUUGGAUUUCUGCUGAGAACGACCGGUCCGCCCUUUGGGUGUGUAUCUGGCUCUUUCUUGGCAUCUUCUUGGUGAACGUUGCUGCACUUGACUGUGCGGAGCGCUACCCAGGACUUUUACUUUGAGGAAAUUAGAGUGUUUCAAGCAGGCAUACGCCUUGAAUACAUUAGCAUGGAAUAAUGAGAUAGGACCUCGGUUCUAUUUUGUUGGUUUCUAGAGCUGAGGUAAUGAUUAAUAGGGAUAGUUGGGGGCAUUCGUAUUUAACUGUCAGAGGUGAAAUUCUUGGACUUGUUAAAGACGGACUACUGCGAAAGCAUUUGCCAAGGAUGUUUUCAUUGA